rnacentral:tRNA from 1 species
GGGUGAUAGCUCAGCUGGGAGAGCACCUCCCUUACAAGGAGGGGGUCGGCGGUUCGAUCCCGUCAUCACCCA